GACGAACGCUGGCGGCGUGCUUAACACAUGCAAGUCGAACGGAAAGGCCCUGCUUUUGUGGGGUGCUCGAGUGGCGCACGGGUGAGUAACACGCGAGUAACCUGUCCUUGACUUUGGGAUAACUUCAGGAAACUGGGGCUCAUACCGGAUAGGAGAUCCUGCUGCAUGGUGGGGGUUGGAAAGAUUCGGCGGUUGGGGAUGGACUCGCGGCUUAUCAGCUUGUUGGUGGGGCAGUGGCGUACCAAGGCUUUGACGGGUAGCCGGCCUGCGAGGGUGACCGGCCACAGUGGGACUGAGAUACGACCCAGACUGCUACGGGAGGCAGCGGUGGGGAAUAGAGCGCAAUGGGCGGAAGCCGGAUGGAGCAAUGCCGGGUGCGGGAUGACGGCCGUCAGGUUGUAAACGGCGUUCGCCUGUGACGAAGCGUGAGUGACGGUAAUUGGUAAAGAAGCACCGGCUAACUACGUG
rnacentral:rRNA from 1 species